GUGCCUGCUUUGGCAGCACAUAUACUAAAAUUGGAAUGAUACAGAGAAGAUUAGCAUGGCCACUGCGAAAAAAUUGUUUUAAAAAAUUAUCACAAUUUA
rnacentral:snRNA from 1 species